GAUGAACGCUGGCGGCGUGCCUAAUACAUGCAAGUCGAGCGAACGGACGAGAAGCUUGCUUCUCUGAUGUUAGCGGCGGACGGGUGAGUAACACGUGGAUAACCUACCUAUAAGACUGGGAUAACUUCGGGAAACCGGAGCUAAUACCGGAUAAUAUUUUGAACCGCAUGGUUCAAAAGUGAUAGACGGUCUUGCUGUCACUUAUAGAUGGAUCCGCGCUGCAUUAGCUAGUUGGUAAGGUAACGGCUUACCAAGGCAACGAUGCAUAGCCGACCUGAGAGGGUGAUCGGCCACACUGGAACUGAGAAACGGUCCAGACUCCUACGGGAGGCAGCAGUAGGGAAGCUUCCGCAAUGGGCGAAAGCCUGACGGAGCAACGCCGCGUGAGUGAUGAAGGUCUUCGGAUCGUAAAACUCUGUUAUUAGGGAAGAACAUAUGUGUAAGUAACUGUGCACAUCUUGACGGUACCUAAUCAGAAAGCCACGGCUAACUACGUG
rnacentral:rRNA from 1 species